UAACAUUCAGCUGCAACGUAUGCAUGUCCAAAAGUGUGUCUGUGUGUCAUCGAAAUGUAAUAAUUAAUUAAUCUAUUUAUCUUUUUGAAUAGAUUGUUUAAAUUGCCAAUCGAAUCUAUAUUUUUGAGUGAGUUAUUGAAGUGAUAAUGAAUAUCAGAAAACUUAGCCCCGAACUAGCUGAAAAAGCAGAAGAAAACUUGGGUGAAAAUCCUGAUCGUAUGCAAAAUGACAUCAACGAUCUUCGUAAUUGGGAAGAAAAACAGCCUCAUUUGAUUUCAAGAAAAGAUGAUCAAUUUUUUGUAACAUUCUUACGUCGUUGUAACUUCAGUUUGGAGGAGAGUAAAAAGAGAGUUGAUGCUUUUUUAACUUGUAAAUCAACUUACCCAGACAUUUUCAAAAAUCGAUUUGUCGAUGCAACUGCUUUGUAAAUUGUGAAAUGCGGAUUAAUCACAAUUCCACCAAAUCCAUUACCAAAUAAUGGUCCAAAAUUACUUAUUUCACAUUUCUCCAAGUUCGAUCCAAAGAAACACAGCUUAAAAGAUGUUUAAAAGUUCGAUUUAUGUUAUUUGAAUUAUUGGCUUUCGAGGAUGAUUUCGCUAGUAUUAAUGGUGUAGAGUUGGUUAUUGAUUUAAAAAACUGCACACUUCAACAAGCCUUGUAUCUAGACCCCAGUCUUUUGAAAAAGACUUUUAUUUAUCAAGAGCAAUGCAUACUACUUCGAAUCAACCAUAUUCAUAUAAUAAACAUGAAGAAAGAACUUCAAGGAAUUGUACAAUUGGCAAGAAGUUUUGUUUCAUCAUCAAAAACAGGAUUUGAAAUUAUUUUACACGAUAAUGAGAGUGAUCUGUAUAAACACAUACCUCAGGAAUUUAUGCCUGCUGAAUAUGGCGGAAAAAAUGGUUCUCAAGAAAAGUUUCUGGAAGAAUGGGAA